ACAGGCAGUGCAUCAAUGAAGGAUCAGUGAAGAAAUGAUCUUCUGUUUUAAGCAGGAAGGAAUUUAAUACAGAGGAUUAGAUGUUAACAAAAAGUGAACACUAGGUUCGGGAAUGCCUCCCACCAGGAAUGAAACAGGACUGAGUCCCUAGGAGACCUACCUUCAAGGCCUCCACUGGCAUUGUGAUUUCAAGAUGUCCCCUGCAGCACGAUCCGGGGAUAGGGAGCCAGUGCUGCAGCUGCUGCAGUAGCCUCUAAUCUCCUGGGAUGGAGGAUACUGGAGAAGUGGAUAGGAAAAGCUAACAUCUCCAAGACUUGGCUUUCCAAUAGGAAGAGCUGAAGAGGAAGGCAGAGGACUCUCAUCUCACUUCCUCCUUCCAAAUCUCAUCCAUCCUAGUUUACACUGAGAAUGUAGUUUCCAGAGCAUGUGGGAAGUGUAGUUUCGACAUCUCCGGCCAGGAGGAGAAUGGAGUGGAAAUGGGGAAUGCUAAUUCACAUCAUCCAUCACACAGAGAUGCCAUUAAAUGGCCUGAUGAAGGAAGGCUGGUCAGACUCGUUUUCAUCCUCCAUGCUCCCCAGUGAUAAUCUGAUUUGCGUGCAGAAGUGGAACACCUAAGGCUCAGCAGGAUAGGACGAGGAAAUAGAUUGCCUGAUUCAGUCUCCUUUGGGUAAGUUCUAAUACCCGGAAGGGGACUUCAAACUUGGUUCUUCUUGGUAAGUAUGGAAAAGACUCAAUUAUCGUACUGCCAAAGUGGUUCUUUUCUUCUUCAUUCACAGAUUAUAUCUGAAGUACUAUCUUAUACCUAUUUUGUGCUUAUUUUCAGAAUAUAUUUAGACGCUGUACUCUAAGAAUUUUGAAGAACUCCUAAAGUUACUGCUUCAAAGAGGCUCUGGAAUCAGACCACUUAAGUUUUGGCCACUUGCCAGCUGUGAAUCCUUGGGCAAGUUAAUCAACUCUCAAUUUUCUUUAUUUGUAAAUAGCGAUGACAUUAUCCAUCUCCUAGCAUAUUUGGAAGGAUUAAAUAAGAUAAUACAUGCAAACUGCUCAGCAGAAUUCUUGACCCAAAGUAAGUGCUCAAAUUAUGGCUGUCAUUCUAUGUAGAAGUUAUUUAGAGACUAUUUUCCUACUUAGAAAAAGGAUCAGGAAAGAAAGAAACUCCUUUUGUAUUUUUAGGACAAAAGCCACAGCUACUUAAGAAGCCUUCAUGAACUUCCAGAAUUCCCCAGGUGGAGCUUUCCAGGAAUGGAGCUUCUUCCUUGGACCAGCAUGGGGUCAGUCUUGCCAGAGUAGCCAUAUAGGAAGAACCAUGCUCCAAGGGAAAAAGUGAAGGAGGAGGAAAACAUUUAAACUUGAUCCAAAUCUAUUUAUAAUUCUUUUCUCCUUCCGUUAAGUAGCUAAAUUUUAUUGAGUGUUUGCUAUUUGCUAGUAGUUUUCUAAGUGCUUUACAUGGAUUAUUUCAUGUAAGUAAUUCUCUAAUUCUCACAACAACUCAAGGAGGUAGGAAGUAUUAUUAUCUCUCUUUUAUAGACAAGGGAACCAAUACACAGUAAGAUUAAGUUGCCCAAGGUUAUACAUCUAAGAGAUAGCUGAGGAAGGAUUGAAACUUGGAGUCUGA
rnacentral:lncRNA from 1 species